CAGCCGCCGCGGUAAUACGUAGGGUGCGAGCGUUAAUCGGAAUUACUGGGCGUAAAGCGUGCGCAGGCGGUCCGCUAAGACAGAUGUGAAAUCCCCGGGCUUAACCUGGGAACUGCAUUUGUGACUGGCGGGCUAGAGUAUGGCAGAGGGGGGUAGAAUUCCACGUGUAGCAGUGAAAUGCGUAGAGGUGUGGAGGAAUACCGAUGGCGAAGACAGCCCCCUGGGCCAAUACUGACGCUCAUGCACGAAAGCGUGGGGAGCAAACAGGAUUAGAUACCCCUGUAGUCCCUGUCUCUUAUAC
rnacentral:rRNA from 1 species